rnacentral:rRNA from 1 species
GAUGGACUCGCGUCCAAUUAGCUAGUAGGCGGGGUAACGGCCCACCUAGGCGACGAUUGGUAGCCGAACUGAGAGGUUGAUCGGCCACAUUGGGACUGAGACACGGCCCAGACUCCUACGGGAGGCAGCAGUGGGGAAUAUUGCGCAAUGGGGGCAACCCUGACGCAGCAACGCCGCGUGAAAAAAAAAGGCUUUCGGGUCGUAAACUUUUGUCAUAAGGGACGAAAUAUGACGGUACCUUAUGAGGAAGCCACGGCUAACUACGUGCCAGCAGCCGCGGUAAUACGUAGGUGGCGAGCGUUGUCCGGAAUUACUGGGUGUAAAGGGCGCGUAGACGGGUAAGUAAGUCAGAUGUGAAAUACCGGGGCUCAACUCCGGGGCUGCAUUUGAAACUAUUUAUCUUGAGUGCAGGAGAGGGAAGCGGAAUUCCUAGUGUAGCGGUGAAAUGCGUAGAUAUUAGGAGGAACACCAGUGGCGAAGGCGGCUUUCUGGACUGUAACUGACGUUGAGGCGCGAAAGCGUGGGUAGCAAACAGGAUUAGAUACCCUGGUAGUCCACGCUGUAAACGAUGAUUACUAGGUGUGGGUGGUAUCGACCCCUUCCGUGCCGGAGUUAACACAAUAAGUCCUCCGCGGGGGGGGUACGCCCGCAAGGUUGAAACUCAAAGGAAUUGACGGGGGCCCGCACAAGCAGUGGAGUAUGUGGUUUAAUUCGAAGCAACGCGAAGAACCUUACCAGGACUUGACAUCCCGCUGACCGCUUUAGAGAUAGAGUUUCCCUUCGGGGCAGCGGUGACAGGUGGUGCAUGGUUGUCGUCAGCUCGUGUCGUGAGAUGUUGGGUUAAGUCCCGCAACGAGCGCAACCCUUACUGUUAGUUGCUAACAUUCAGUUGAGCACUCUAGCAGGACUGCCGGUGACAAAUCGGAGGAAGGUGGGGAUGACGUCAAAUCAUCAUGCCCCUUAUGUCCUGGGCUACACACGUACUACAAUGGCGAAAACAAUGGGAAGCAAGACAGCGAUGUGGAGCAAAUCCCCAAAUUUCGCCUCAGUUCAGAUUGCAGGCUGCAACUCGCCUGCAUGAAGUCGGAAUAACUAGUAAUCGCGAAUCAGCAUGUCGCGGUGAAUACGU